UUGAACGCUGGCGGCAGGCCUAACACAUGCAAGUCGAACGGUAACAGGAAGAAGCUUGCUUCUUUGCUGACGAGUGGCGGACGGGUGAGUAAUGUCUGGGAAACUGCCUGAUGGAGGGGGAUAACUACUGGAAACGGUAGCUAAUACCGCAUAACGUCGCAAGACCAAAGAGGGGGACCUUCGGGCCUCUUGCCAUCGGAUGUGCCCAGAUGGGAUUAGCUAGUAGGUGGGGUAACGGCUCACCUAGGCGACGAUCCCUAGCUGGUCUGAGAGGAUGACCAGCCACACUGGAACUGAGACACGGUCCAGACUCCUACGGGAGGCAGCAGUGGGGAAUAUUGCACAAUGGGCGCAAGCCUGAUGCAGCCAUGCCGCGUGCAUGAAGAAGGCCUUCGGGUUGUAAAGUACUUUCAGCGGGGAGGAAGGGAGUAAAGUUAAUACCUUUGCUCAUUGACGUUACCCGCAGAAGAAGCACCGGCUAACUCCGUG
rnacentral:rRNA from 1 species